rnacentral:rRNA from 1 species
GACGAACGCUGGCGGCGUGCCUAAUACAUGCAAGUAGAACGCACAGUUUAUACCGUAGCUUGCUACACCAUAGCCUGUGAGUUGCGAACGGGUGAGUCACGCGUAGGUAACCUGCCUGGUAGCGGGGGAUAACGAUUGGAACCGAUAGCUAAUACCGCAUAAUAUUGAUUAUUGCAGGAUAAUUGAUUCAAAGAUGCUAUUGCAUCACUACCAGAUGGUCCUGCGUUGUAUUAGCUAGUAGGCGAGGUAACGGCUCACCUAGGCGACGAUACAUAGCCGACCUGGGAGGGUGAUCGGCCACACUGGGACUGAGACACGGCCCAGACUCCUACGGGAGGCAGCAGUAGGGAAACAUCGGCAAUGGACGACAGUCUGACCGAGCAAAGCCGCGUGAGUGAAGAAGGUUUUCGGAUCGUAAAGCUCUGUUGUAAGAGAAGAACGGGUGUGAGAGUGGAAAGUUCACGCUGUGACGGUACCUUAACAGAAAGGGACGGCUAACUACGUG